rnacentral:rRNA from 1 species
UAAGACAUGCAAGUCGAACGGACUUUAUGAUUGGGUAACCUUGAAUAAAGUUAGUGGCGAAAGGGUGAGGAAUAGAUAGGAACGUGCCUUUGGCUUCGGAAUAGCGUCCCGAAAGGGGCGGUAAUACCGGAUAACGUCUACGGACCAAAGAUUUAUCGGCCUUAGAGCGGCCUAUCUCCUAUCAGCUUGUUGGUGGGGUAAUGGCCUACCAAGGCAACGACGGGUAGCGGGACUGAGAGGUUGGCCCGCCACAUCGGGACUGAGACACUGCCCGGACCUCCACGGAGGGCUGCAGUAACGAAUAUUGGGCAAUGGGCGAAAGCCUGACCCAGCAAUGCCGCGUGUAGGAUGAAGCCCCUCGGGGUGUAAACUACUGUCAGGGGUUAGAAAGCUACGGUUGAUCAACCCCAGAGGAAGUCACGGCUAACUUCGUGCCAGCAGCCGCGGUAAUACGAAGGUGGCGAGCGUUAUUCGGAAUUACUGGGCUUAAAGCGCACGCAGGCGGAAUAUUUAGCGUCUUGUGAAAUCCCCCGGCUUAACCGGGGAAUUGCAGGGCGAACUGGUAUUCUUGAGGCAAGUAGGGGUGCAUGGAAACUCUUGGUGGAGCGGUGGAAUGCGUAGAUAUCAAGAGGAACGCCGAUGGUGAAGACAGUGCACUGGGCUUGUCCUGACGCUGAGGUGCGAAAGCGUGGGGAAGCGAACGGGAUUAGAUACCCCGGUAGUCCACGCCGUAAACGAUG